rnacentral:tRNA from 1 species
GCCAUAUUAGUAAAACCACUUACGUUCGCCUUCCAAGCGAAAAUUUUAAUUAACUUUAAAUACGGCA